UUCAUAUCAUGAUUCAAAGGUUAAAAAUCGGCAGGGUUUGCUGGUUUACUAAUCCUUUUCGUUGUGAAAUCUGAAAAAAGUUUUUAUAGAACUCCUUUCCUUGGAUGAUCUGUCAACUGCUCAAUCAAUUACUUCUUCGAAAUGCUAAAAAAAAAAAAAAAAAAAGAUUUCUUGAUUUUCUUUUAUUAAUAUUUGUCCAG
rnacentral:misc_RNA from 1 species